GGCGGCCACAUCACGUUUAAACACCGGUUCCCGUACGAACACCGAAGUUAAGCAACGUCGAUCCUGGUCAGUACCUAGAUGGGUGAUCGCCAGG